GACGAACGCUGGCGGCGUGCUUAACACAUGCAAGUCGAACGGAAAGGCCCUGCUUUUGUGGGGUGCUCGAGUGGCGAACGGGUGAGUAACACGUGAGUAACCUGCCCUUGACUUUGGGAUAACUUCAGGAAACUGGGGCUAAUACCGGAUAGGAGCUCCUGCUGCAUGGUGGGGGUUGGAAAGUUUCGGCGGUUGGGGAUGGACUCGCGGCUUAUCAGCUUGUUGGUGGGGUAGUGGAUUACCAAGGCUUUGACGGGUAGCCGGCCUGAGAGGGUGACCGGCCACAUUGGGACUGAGAUACGGCCCAGACUCCUACGGGAGGCAGCAGUGGGGAAUAUGGCACAAUGGGCGGAAGCCUGAUGCAGCAACGCCGCGUGCGGGAUGACGGCCUUCGGGUUGUAAACCGCUGUCGCCUGUGACGAAGAGUGAGUGACGGUAAUGGGUAAAGAAGCACCGGCUAACUACGUG
rnacentral:rRNA from 1 species